CCGAAGAACUUCCUGUUACGAGAUCAGAUCAACCCAAAUACUACGUGAGUCGUGUAGCAGCUACCCUGUCACUACUAUGUAAAUGUAGACCUCGAGUAAACAGGUUUUCAACAGAACGUGUUAAAUAAUCAAGUCAGUCCAACCAUCGUGGUUCCAUUGAGGAAAGUGGCGUCGUUAACAAUGGGCGGCAAAGACCACACGCCAACGACCACAGGUAGCCCCGGAUGCUUCAGGAAGAACAUUCCAUGGGACAUCGUAUUCGUAUCACAAGUCUAAAAGAGGUGGAGGAGGAAGAAGAGGAGCGAGUAGUAUAGAGUUUGCCAACAAUCGGCUCAUUGACAAUUGCGGUCACUAAAUCAAGAUGGCGGCACUUUUGUCGGCAAGCUUGAAAAUGGCGGUGCGCCUGUCAAGUCUUUGUGAGGGUUGCCGACGCCAUUGUUGGAAUACGAUUCGAGUGGCUUCGAACACGGGAAGUACAAUGCGUGUGACAAAAAGGUAUCCGUGGGAAUCAUGGGGAUAAUACGGGAAGUUGUACGUAAGACCGGAAGACGAGGAUUUUCCAGCCAGCUGACUUUGACCAAUGGCAAUCGAUUACGUCGAAAAUGGAUUGGUCGCAGAGACCACCCUUGAAAAUUGGUGGGUAUGUCAAUAUUGCGUUCGGAAUCGGCUUUUGCUGCGAAUCCAAUUGAUUUUGCAGUGACUUCUCUGAUGUUAAGGUAUUUACGUUUUGACCUAACCAAUAAAUAGAAUGAUAAUUUGCAAUCAACGUGUACGUUAAUUGGAUUAAGAUUUAAAUAACAGACAUAGGAACUCUGGUAAAAAGUUGCACUCAAUGUUAUAUCGUGGAAAGAGAAAACUAAUCCAUAGAACAAAAUUCUGUACAUCCAAGACCACUUGGUCUUUAUCUAAGACAAUGAUAAUUAAUUAUGGUUACCGAAGAAUUCGGGAUCGCAUCCAUUUGUCCUACAUCCAAUAACAAUUAAUUAUCACUGUUAUUGAGCAUGACUUGAUGAUAGUCAACUAUUCAUUUGCCGAUCGCGUGUUUAGCUCUGAGUACUUUAAGUCGACCGUUAUAUGUAUAGUUAUAUUUGUUUUAAA